GCCAGGUGUGGUGGUGCACACCUGUAGUCUCAGCUACUUGGGAGGCUGAGAUAGGAGGAUCGCUUGAGUCCAGGAGGUCAAGGCUGCAGUGAGCUGUGACACUACACUCCAGCCUGGGUGACAGAGUGAGACCCUGGCUCAA
ensembl:misc_RNA Metazoa_SRP Metazoan signal recognition particle RNA